CGUGCAGGCGGUCGGGUAAGUCAGAUGUGAAAGCCUUCUGCUUAACAGAAGAAGUGCAUUUGAAACUGCUCGGCUAGAGUACGGGAGAGGAGAGUGGAAUUCCCGGUGUAGAGGUGAAAUUCGUAGAUAUCGGGAGGAACACCAGUGGCGAAGGCGGCUCUCUGGUCCGAUACUGACGCUGAGACGCGAAAGCGUGGGGAGCAAACAGGAUUAGAUACCCUGGUAGUCCACGCCGUAAACGAUGGGCACUAGGUGUAGGAGGUAUUGACCCCUUCUGUGCCGAAGUUAACGCAUUAAGUGCCCCGCCUGGGGAGUACGGCCGCAAGGCUAAA
rnacentral:rRNA from 1 species